rnacentral:rRNA from 1 species
UGCGGUUAAAAAGCUCGUAGUUGGAUUUCUGUUGAGGGUGACCGGUCCGCUCUUUGAGCGCGUAUCUGGUUCAGCCUUGGCAUCCUCUUGGGGAACGCUACUGUGCUUGAUUGCAUGGGGCGGUAUUCAAGACUUUUACUUUGAGGAAAUUAGAAUGUUCACUGCAAGCGUUAGCAAUUGAAUACAUUAGCAUGGAAUAAUAAUAUAGGACCUUGGUACUAUUUUGUUGGUUUCUAGAACUAAGGUAAUGAUUAAUAGGGACAAUUGGGGGCAUUCGUAUUAACGCGUCAGAGGUGGAAUUCUUAGAUUGCGUUACGACGAACUACUGCGAAAGCAUUUGCCAAGGAUGUUUUCAUUGAUCAAGAACGAAAGUAUGGGGAUC